ACAGGGAUUGCCCUAGUAACGGCGAGUGAAGCGGCAACAGCUCAAAUUUGAAAUCUGGCGUCUUUGGCGUCCGAGUUGUAAUUUGCAGAGGGCGCUUUGGCAUUGGCAGCGGUCCAAGUUCCUUGGAACAGGACGUCACAGAGGGUGAGAAUCCCGUACGUGGUCGCUAGCCUUUACCGUGUAAAGCCCCUUCGACGAGUCGAGUUGUUUGGGAAUGCAGCUCUAAAUGGGAGGUAAAUUUCUUCUAAAGCUAAAUACUGGCCAGAGACCGAUAGCGCACAAGUAGAGUGAUCGAAAGAUGAAAAGCACUUUGGAAAGAGAGUUAAAAAGCACGUGAAAUUGUUGAAAGGGAAGCGCUUGCAGCCAGACUUGCCUGUAGUUGCUCAUCCGGGUUUUUACCCGGUGCACUCUUCUACGGGCAGGCCAGCAUCAGUUUGGGCGGUUGGAUAAAGGUCUCUGUCAUGUACCUCCUCUCGGGGAGAACUUAUAGGGGAGACGACAUGCAACCAGCCCGGACUGAGGUCCGCGCAUCUGCUAGGAUGCUGGCGUAAUGGCUGUAAGCGGCCCGUCUUGAAACACGGACCAAGGAGUCUAACAUCUAUGCGAGUGUUUGGGUGUCAAGCCCGAGCGCGUAAUGAAAGUGAACGGAGGUGGGAACCUUUCGGGGUGCACCAUCGACCGAUCCUGAUGUCUUCGGAUGGAUUUGAGUAAGAGCAUAGCUGUUGGGACCCGAAAGAUGGUGAACUAUGCUUGAAUAGGGUGAAGCCAGAGGAAACUCUGGUGGAGGCUCGCAGCGGUUCUGACGUGCAAAUCGAUCGUCAAAUUUGGGCAUAGGGGCGAAAGACUAAUCGAACUAUCUAGUAGCUGGUUCCUGCCGAAGUUUCCCUCAGGAUAGCAGUAACGUUUUCAGUUUUAUGAGGUAAAGCGAAUGAUUAGAGGACUGGGGGAUGAAACAUCCUU
rnacentral:rRNA from 5 species